UCGAAUCCCACAUUCUCCGCAACGGGGUAUAGCGUAGUUUGGUUAUCGCGCCUGGUUUGGGACCAGGAGAUCGU
rnacentral:tRNA from 1 species